ACAUCGUAUCUGCAAGGUGUCCUUGGAGAGAUGAACAUUGAACUGCUCUAAAGCAGUGUUCCCAGCUGUAACUGGCAUGGAAGUCACUCCGAGAGCUUUAAAAAAAAUACUCAUUCUUGGGAGCCACUCAUAUACAUUCUGUUGUAAUUGGCCUGGGGCAUUACAAUGGACUUUUAAAGCUAUAAUAUCCCAAAGAAUGAAUAGAAACUAGCUCAACUGAGAGCAAAGUGGAAAGGGGCAUGAAAAGACACGCCAAGCAGAGAACAGCGUUAAAAGAACUCCUUGCUCAGAUUCCUCCUCUGAAGCUUGAAAAUCAUCACUUCCAACCUGGUGACUUGGUUUUAGUCAAGACCUGGAAAAAAGAAGACAGGCUUCAACCAAGGUGGAAAAGACCUUACAUGCUCCUGAUCACCUGAGGGCUAUCCAAACUACUUUUAAAGGGGUGAACUCAUUACCAUGGGAGUCUCCACCUCAAAAUGUGAAUAUGGCCAGGAUGAAUGGCCAUGCCAAAUGGUACAAAAACAAAAAUGAAAAUAAGACCAAAAGCUAUAAAAGGAAAAAGGGGGGAUUUGUGAGAAAAAAGAAAGCCCAGUGGUCCAUUUUCAGAAUAGAGUAUUUAGCUUUAAAUGUAAAAUGUCUUGGGAUGUAAGCUGGAGGGGAAAGAAGGAUGUAAAAUUACAAGCAGUUAACACCAAAGAGUAAAAAUUCACAGCCCCUUGACAAACAGAAGGUGAGAAGGAAGGCCCCCACCCGCCCCUGACAAACACAGAUAAACCAAAAGGCACUCCAUCCAAGAGGACUUUCCAACCACAAGGGAACAAAGGAAGGUGGGGACAAAUAAAGUUACAUUUCUUUAAAUAACCCAAUAAGGAAUAGUAAAACCUAGGUGAUGUUCAGGAAGACUGUACUCAGCCAAUGAGCAACUGGGGGAAGGAUCUUGUGCUUAGGAACAAACACUGACUGCACACAAUCUGUGGGUCCCUGACCACCAGGCACCCAAUUUUGAAAGAUCAUCAUUAAAGUAAAGCCUCACUUUUUGCUGUA